GAGACCCCACCUGAGACACCUGUUCGGCGCUUGGGCCCCUUCGUGCUGCGGGGGGAGGGGUCGGGGAGCCCCCCCCCGCCGCCCCCCCGGGGCCCUGUUCUACCAGCGCCCCUCCCCCAACACAGACCCCCCAAGGGACCCCCCAAAGGACCCCCCCGGCCCCAGUUACGCCGUCGCUGCCCUCCAGGUGAGGACCCCGCCCCAAA